rnacentral:misc_RNA from 1 species
GAUGAAGAACGCAGCGAAAUGCGAUAAGUAAUGUGAAUUGCAGAAUUCAGUGAAUCAUCGAAUCUUUGAACGCACAUUGCGCCCGCCAGUAUUCUGGCGGGCAUGCCUGUUCGAGCGUCAUUUCAACCAUCAAGCCCCCGGCUUGUGUUGGGGACCUGCGGCUGCCGCAGGCCCUGAAAACCAGUGGCGGGCUCGCUAGUCACUCCGAGCGUAGUAAUACAUCUCGCUCAGGGCGUGCUGCGGGUUCCGGCCGUUAAAAAGCCUUAUUUACCCAAGGUUGACCUCGGAUCAGGUAGGAAGACCAGCUGAACUUAAGCAUAUCAUAAGCGGAGGA